UUUUUCCCCUUCUAGUAAACUUCAGGAGGGUGGGGUUCACUGGUAGAUGCUAAUAUGGUGUAUAUGUGAAAUGAAAAGUUGUAUUAAGGUUAAGGGUCGCCUACUACUCCUUAAAUUAUUGCACGGAAGCAGAUGGCAGGCUGUGGAGAGCCCUUUUGUUGUGGAAGUGUCCCUUGCAGAAUAGUUCCAUGUUUCAAGAUGCACCAGCUACACAUUCAGCUUCGAGACAGAUCUGGCACCAAACAUGGAGGCUUAAUGCUACUUCAUAAGGAUUUGAAUUGUGCACUCAAAAGGCUUGGAGCAGAAACAUCAUCUGGCACUUGGAGAUGAAGCUGCAAGCUCUGCAAGGCUGCCCUAGGCAGGGGAUACCUGUGCCUCCAGCAUGAGAUGCUGUUCCAUCUGUUCCUGAUGUUGGACAAGACAAGUCCUCCCUAGUUUAAGGCUUCCAGAGUGGUUAUCAUUGUGAUAGAUGGUGCAGUGAGGCUGUUAAGUUGUGCUGAUGGUGCCAGCAAGAAAAAGUGAAGCUUGUGGGGAGCUUGUGUGAGAAGCAAGAUUAAUUUAUGUGUGAGGAAAGGACCAUGCUGUCUGCAGCCUCCCUGGGUGAGGAAUCAACUUGAAACUCCUGCAUGAAAACCAAGAAGAAGGUGGAAGACUGCAGAACAGUGGGUUACACUUGAAUGAGUAGCAUUAAAAAAGCCAAGGUGUUUUUACCACACUGGUAAUGUUUUUCUGAUACUGAUGGGAACUAAUAAAAAUCUGUAAACUCUG